rnacentral:rRNA from 1 species
UACGGGGGGAGCAAGCGUUGUUCGGAUUUACUGGGCGUAAAGGGCGCGUAGGCGGCCACCGCAAGUCGGUUGUGAAAUCUCUGGGCUUAACCCAGAAAGGUCAACCGAUACUGCGGGGCUAGAGUGCAGAAGGGGCAACUGGAAUUCUCGGUGUAGCGGUGAAAUUCGUAGAUAUCGGGGGGAACACCAGUGGCGAAGGCGGCGACCUGGGCCAAUACUGACGCUGAGGUGCGAAAGCGUGGGGAGCAAACAGG